rnacentral:rRNA from 1 species
GGAAGGAUCAUUAACGAAUUGUAAAGGGGGUUUGAUGCUGGCAAGUUAUUCUUUAGCUGCAUGUGCUCGCCUCCAACAAUCUUUAUACAUACACCUGUGCACCUUCUGAGGGUUUCCGAGUAAGAUUGCUGUUUCUAGUGAUCUCUCUUAGAUUCCUUCUUCACACAUACACUGUUGAGAAUAUUGAACGUGCUCGUGCCGAUAAGGCCUUAAUAAAAUACAACUUUUAACAACGGAUCUCUUGGCUCUCGCAUCGAUGAAGAACGCAGCGAAAUGCGAUAAGUAAUGUGAAUUGCAGAAUUCAGUGAAUCAUCGAAUCUUUGAACGCAUCUUGCGCUCCCUGGUAUUCCGGGGAGCACGCCUGUUCGAGUGUCGUGAAAUUCUCAAGCUAGGUGCUUUUUGUGUCUUAGCUUGGUUAUUGGGCUUUGCCGUGUCCUUCGUUGGGACGGCUGGCCUUAAAAAUAUUAGCUGACCCUCAUGAUGGCAUUGGUUCUACUCAGCGUGAUAAUAAUCUGACCGCUGAGGACAUCUUUCGGGAUGGCCAAUUCUCGUUUGGGUUGCUCUCUAAUCUGGUUUAUGGAUUGCUAGUACCAAUCUGUUCCAUUUUCAAAUUUGACCUCGAAUCAGGUGGGACUACCCGCUGAACUUAAGCAUAUCAAUAAGCGGAGGAAAAGAAACUAACAAGGACUCCCCUAGUAACGGCGAGUGAAGAGGGAAAAGCUCAAAUUUAAAAUCUGGNAGUCUUCGAUUGUCCGAGUUGUAAUCUAGAGAAGCGUUUUCCGCGCUGGACUGUGUACAGUUUCCUGGAUACGGAACAUCAUAUAGGGUGAGAUCCCGUCCUUGACACAUACUCCCAGUGCUUGUGAUGCGCUCUCGAC